rnacentral:rRNA from 1 species
UACGUAGGAGGCGAGCGUUGUCCGGAGUUACUGGGCGUAAAGGGUGCGUAGGCGGCGCGGUAAGUCGGGUGUGAAAUCUUGGAGCUUAACUCCGAAACUGCAUUCGAUACUGCCGUGCUUGAGGACUGGAGAGGAGACUGGAAUUUACGGUGUAGCGGUGAAAUGCGUAGAUAUCGUAAGGAAGACCAGUGGCGAAGGCGGGUCUCUGGACAGUUCCUGACGCUGAGGCACGAAGGCCAGGGGAGCAAACGGG